CUGCCGAUGACGUUUGGAGGUCUUCCGA
rnacentral:sRNA from 1 species